rnacentral:piRNA from 1 species
UAGAGUUCCUGGUCUUUAAUUUGCC